GAGGGAGCAGCAGUGAAGAGACACCGAAGACAGUGAUUGAGUCCGCCGAAGACAGGAUGGGUGAAAACAGAUCUGGAGGGAGCAGCAGUGAAGAACCACUGAAGACAGCGUAGAGUCCGCCGAAGACAGGAUGGGUGAAAAACAGAUCUGGCGGGAGCAGCAGUGAAGAGACCACGAAGACAGCGUUGAGUCCGCCGAAGACAGGAUAGGUGAUUUAGUUUAGAGAUUAUGAGGAGUCAUACAUAACAGGGAAGCAACUGGAAAAUGGCCAAAACGACUAUUCCAGCAAGGACGAUUAUGAUGAGGAUGAUGACAGAAAAAUAAAACAAGUCAUAAUUAGUAACUGUAAUAACCUUUCAACUUUUUGAAAAAAAGGCUUCUUUGCUUUUGGCAUUUACAAAAAAGUAUUAAGUUCUAGUAAAUUCAACCAAUGGAAAUACCCCUGUUCAAUUCUUUUGAUUAAUAAACCAUUUAAAUAUUAA